CCCUACGGGAGGCAGCAGCGCCGCGUGCAGGAAGAAGGUCUUCGGAUUGUAAACUGUUGUCGCAAGGGAAGAAGACAGUGACGGUACCUUGUGAGAAAGUCACGGCUAACUACGUGCCAGCAGCCGCGGUAAUACGUAGGUGACAAGCGUUGUCCGGAUUUACUGGGUGUAAAGGGCGCGUAGGCGGACUGUCAAGUCAGUCGUGAAAUACCGAAGCUUAACUUCGGGGCUGCGAUUGAAACUGACAGCCUUGAGUAUCGGAGAGGAAAGCGGAAUUCCUAGUGUAGCGGUGAGAUGCGUAGAUU
rnacentral:rRNA from 1 species